GUGGGGAAUAUUGGACAAUGGGCGCAAGCCUGAUCCAGCAAUGCCGCGUGGGUGAAGAAGGCCUUCGGGUUGUAAAGCCCUUUUGUACGGGAAGAACUCAUUCGGGUUAAUACCCUGGGUGGAUGACGGUACCGUAAGAAUAAGCACCGGCUAACUUCGUGCCAGCAGCCGCGGUAAAACGAAGGGUGCAAGCGUUAAUCGGAAUUACUGGGCGUAAAGCGUGCGUAGGUGGUUGUUUAAGUCUGUCGUGAAAGCCAGGGGCUCAACCAUGGAAGGGAGAUGGAAACUGGGCGACUAGAGUGCGGUAGAGGAUGGCGGAAUUCCCAGUGUAGCGGUGAAAUGCGUAGAUAUCGGGAGGAACAUCCGUGGCGAAGGCGGCCAUCUGGACCAGCACUGACACUGAGGCACGAAAGCGUGGGGAGCAAACAGGAUUAGAAACCCGAGUAGUCC
rnacentral:rRNA from 1 species